rnacentral:rRNA from 1 species
UACGGAGGGUGCAAGCGUUAUCCGGAUUCACUGGGUUUAAAGGGUGCGUAGGUGGGUUGGUAAGUCAGUGGUGAAAUCUCCAGGCUUAACUUGGAAACUGCCAUUGAUACUAUCAAUCUUGAAUAUUGUGGAGGUGAGCGGAAUAUGUCAUGUAGCGGUGAAAUGCUUAGAUAUGACAUAGAACACCAAUUGCGAAGGCAGCUCGCUACACAUAUAUUGACUCUGAGGCACGAAAGCGUGGGGAUCAAACAGG